ACCCUCGUAGCUAAAAAUGUUCAAAGCGCUGGCCUUGUAAGACAGAGACGGGGGCUAACCCCCUCCGAGAGUAU
rnacentral:tRNA from 1 species